AUUGCUAUUAUGUUUUCUUUAUUAUUUAUUUCCUUCAAAGUUACAAAGUAGCCAGUGGUUUUUAAAAGUCUAAUUUUGAAAUGUGGCAAGAAAAUUGAAAUGCAAACAUUUUGUACUUUGAGGGUGUCUUACAACAGAGCAAACUGGGCUUUUUUUUUUUUUUUUUUCCUGCUUUUUAAGAGGGAAGGUAAGAAAGUCAGGAUAAAGUUAGGGUAUUGUAGGAGUAGAUACAAUGAACUAACCCCCAUAAUGUAUAACCCCAAACAAUACAACUAGCACCCCAAAUUACAAUCAAAAGACUUUAGAAACAAAGGAACGAAGCCCAGAGACAACCCACACAAGAAGUAUGCAACCCAACCAAGAAAUAAACCCAAAAGAGAGACAAUCAGCAGGAGAGAGAAAAUCUCCUGUGUAGGGUAAUCUAGAGGGUGGGGAGGCGGCUGCAGCACUGUGGAGCUCAGAAUGAGCUGCGACUUGGGUCACAGGCAGCCCCUAAGGAGGGUACAAAAACCUAAAAGUUUGGGGAACUUUUGAUGGAGGGUUAUGGAGAUACUUACUUUCUUGAUUUUCAACCCGAGGAGAGAGAUCGCAGGCUUUAAGAGAGAGAAAUCUGUUGAGUCGAUUCUGAUGCUGGAAUGCUUGGACAGAUCUGAACUUUUAACCUUUUACAGUGGCAGUGCACACGAAAGCAAGCAAUUAUCAAUGAGCUGAAGUAAAUAAAAAAACAAGAACCAAGAGAAUUGUGAGUGGGUGGCUAUCUCGGCCCAGGCAUCUCACCCACAACUAUUUUGGCUGUUUAGAAGCAAUUGACUACAAUCUUUAUUUAUUCAAAUCUGAAAUUAUGAGUACAUAGGCUCCUCUAUUUAAAGAGGGCAGAAUAACAAUCCUAUCAUAACUAGGAGCUAGUUUCCAAAUAGGAUUAGACACUCCUAACAGGACUUGGUCUCAUAAUAGGACUAGGACUAUAACUCCAACAUGGAGUAAACUAAGUAACUAAUAGUCCAUAUAGGACAUUACAAUUGGUGGGCCCAAUGGGCCGCACUUAUUACAAUUAAUUAAAUCCCUAUAGCUAGAAUUGAUGGGCCCAAUGGGCCUUCAUUCUAAGAACUAAUUUAGCCACUUGAAGUGUAACACCCCAAAUCUCACCUCUUUACAUUAACUGUGAACAGGCAAAAGUAACAGGCUAGAGAGGCCAACACUAGUUUGGUUGGUAGUAGUGGAGUGCCAGGAAGGAAAGAAUGACCCAACAUGUUCCUGACAGAGCCAACACUAGUUUGGUUGGCAGUAGUGGAGUGCCAGGAAGGAAAGAAUGACCCAACAUGUUCCUGUGCCUUCUGUCAACAAUGUUGGAAGAAACAACAAGAAAAGUGGUUCAACAAGUAUUUAUUAACCUUUCAUAAGGGUUAGUAAUAAAAAGGGGACUAAAUAGACUCUAAAAGAGAAAAUCUGGCUCAACAAGCUGGAGAGUUCUAGAAAUGACAGGCCGGCCUGUUGACUGGACAGAAUAGUCAGUUUUGACUGUGGUGAGUCCCACUUUGUAAUUUGACAUGAGGACCUAUUUUUAUUAGUCUGUUAUGAUAAAAUAAAAUAAAUAAUAAUUUAGAAUAAGAAUUAUAUAAUUUAAAGUUAAGCAUGUAAUUAAUUAUAUAUGUAGUCAUAUUAUGACAUAAUGUAAGUUAUAUAUAUAUUAUUAUGAGUGAGUGGAACAUUCCACUAGGGAAUUGGGGCUAUAAAAAAGGCCACCACCGACUUUAGUAUUUCAAUUCUCACUUGGACAGAAAGAGAAGGAAGGGAGAAAGAAGAAGAAGAAGAAGAAGAAGGGCUGCUGUUCAUGUACUUUUGGGGCUGCAACUACAUGUUUUCUGUGCUCCUGCUGUGCUCUCUUGCUGGUGUUAUUGAGAUACUGCUGCUGCUGUAGAAAAGGAUGUAUGCAAGACAAGAUGAGAGGUGCAAGGGGCUGUCCAAGCUGAAAUCCUUUUGACAUUUUACUGCAUAUAUUGAGCUGUGGCUGUACCUGUUCAGAGAGGAACAUAAACCACACGGCGAGGAUAUGCGGUGACGGGAACUCAACGGUAACAACUGUGAUUUGGGUAACAAGUUGAGGGGUGCUUGACUUUAUUUUACGGAGUGUUUCUACAUUAUUUUCUAUUUUUUCAUGAAUUAUGUGAAUGUAUGACUUGUUAUGUUGCUGUUAUGCAUGUUGUUGCUAUUAGUAUCUGUUACCUUGUGAAUAUGGAUUGGCAAGACUGUGGAUAGGUUUCUGGACUGCAGAGGUAAGUGAGGUAAGCCAUUGUGAUUAUGUGAUUGUGUGUUGUGAAUAUGGAAUGUGGCUAUAUGGAUGUGGACCACAGUUGUAACUGUGGUAUUGGCGUUCUGGGGCACAGUGUGGCCGAAGUGCAUUUCCGGUACCGUGGGCCCAGAGGUCAGUAGCAUAGUUAUGAUUGUGGCUCUGACGGUCUAGGGCAUGGUGUGGCCGAGGUUCUAUCCAGUACCAUGGGCCUAGAGGUCAGAGGAAGAGUGAUGUAUGAUGAGUGGUAAUGAUUGUAACAUCGAUGGUCUGAGGCACCUUGUAACAUUUUCGGUACCGUGGGCUUAGAGGUCGGUAUUACAGUGAUGGCCAGUGUUGUAUGAUAUGGAAGCAUAUAGAAUGCAUGGUUAGGAUUCAUAAACCAUGGUGCUACACCCCUUGCCAGUAGGGGGUUAGGUAUUGGCUAAUCCCAAAGGGUGGUAUGUUAUUGAGAAUACGACGUAUUGUACUCCGAGGUGAAAAUAGCACGGGUGACCAAUUGUGUAGGAUUUCGGGACCGUGGAAGUUCACAGCAUGGGUGACCGAUUGUGUAGGAUUCCGGGACCAUGGCUAUCUGUUUGGGGUUACCUUUAGAGGUUUGCAGGGAGACAAAUUGUGUAGGAUUUCAGGACCUACAAACUUCCGCUUGCAGCGAGCUUGUAUUCCUGAGGCCCAACGUACAGGGUAGGGAAUGCCACCUACCCUGCAUAGCACCUAUAUCAUAUGAUGGACCUAGUAAUGGAAGUAGGAAAA